CUAUGAUCCGGCUCCUACUCACCCCUCCGGUGGCCCUGAGCCAUCCUUCGAGAUCAAAAAGGGGCUGAGAGGAUGGGUCCUCGCCAUGCCGCGAUACGAUAUACUCCGUAUAAUCUACCUAUGCAGUUUAGACAUUCAUUAGUCCAUAUAUAUCAAUAUAUAUAAAAACUUAAUAAAUAAUGUUUUAAGUUAUUAUCGCGAUCUGUCGAGAACGAGGAUCUAAGUAAUCACCAGUCCUCCUAGAUUGUUGUGUGGCCUCCC
rnacentral:lncRNA from 1 species